rnacentral:rRNA from 1 species
AUUGAACGCUGGCGGAAUGCUUUACACAUGCAAGUCGAACGGUAGAGGGGGCAACCCCUCGAGAGUGGCGAACGGGUGAGUAAUAUAUCGGAACGUGCCCAGUCGUGGGGGAUAACGUAGCGAAAGUUACGCUAAUACCGCAUACGAUCUAAGGAUGAAAGCGGGGGAUCGCAAGCCCUCGCGCGAUUGGAGCGGACGAUAUCAGAUUAGGUAGUUGGUGGGGUAAAGGCUCACCAAGCAAACGAUCUGUAGCUGGUCUGAGAGGACGACCAGCCACACUGGAACUGAGACACGGUCCAGACUCCUACGGGAGGCAGCAGUGGGGAAUUUUGGACAAUGGACGCAAGUCUGAUCCAGCCAUUCCGCGUGCAGGAUGAAGGCCCUCGGGUUGUAAACUGCUUUUGUACGGAACGAAAAGGUCUCUCUUAAUACGGGGGACUCAUGACGGUACCGUAAGAAUAAGCACCGGCUAACUACGUGCCAGCCGCCGCCGUAA